UAUUGGUGGAGCGAGUUGUCUUCAGAGCACGAAUCAGAUCUUCCAGCCACUGCUACCUCUCACCUGAUCCUCAUUACCUCCUCGUUAAGCAGUGCAUAAAGACAGCAGCUUUCUCUCCACUCCUUGCCAGAUCGCCUGCGCUACGUUGCUGUUCCUACCUCCUGCUUAACUCCGUGGUACCACCUCCCAGCUGUGUUCCUCGCCGCCAAGACCUUCCUGUCCUGACUGUCUGGAGUCAGUCGACCAGCUUCUUGUCUCGUCCUGCUACGCCACACUCUCUGCCUCCUGCCUGUCCGUCCGGCUCUGCCCUCCUGGUCCCCUUGCCGUGUUUCCAGCCUCGCCAGUCAGCUCCCUGUUCCCAUCCAGUCUCUACCAGUUCCUUUACCUCCCUUGUAUUUGCUAUAGUUGUUGUUAAUAAACUUAUCGCCCCGUA